AGCAUAGGGCGGCGGAGAGGAUAGAAGUGGAGUAGGGAGGGAGGAGGGCUGUGAGGGAGGGGGAGUAGAUAAGGUGGAGAACUGGAGGGAGCCGGACUCAAAGUUGAUUGGAUGCGAUUGAAUAAAAUUUAUGGUCAGGCCGAACUCCUUUACCAAUGGAUUUUAUUGUGAACCUUUUAUGAAAUUCUUCACCGCUGGUUUGUGAUUGGAAAUGGCAGUGUGAUAGUCAUUUUCACUGCCAAUUCUAACAAUCCACAGCUAGUGGAGAACGUAGCCUGAAAGCUAGGGGGCUCACCUACCUUUUCUUUCUUCAUCUUUCUUCUCUCCUUUCUCU
rnacentral:lncRNA from 1 species